AUGCCUCCCGGCGGCGUAGCGGGUGCAAACGUGGAAGCCAGCGUCCAGACGAGGCUCUGCAGUAUGAACUUCAUCCCUUUCUCGCUCGCUCGCUCCUCUAUUUUUCUACGAGCCAGCCACUGUCCCUCAAGCAAGCAACAUGGCCAAAUUCGUGGCACCUCGUCUUCACUUCCAUCACCACAUCUACACAAAGGAAAUGUGCAAUCCUCAGCUAUAUCCAAACUUAACCAUGAUCCACUAGCUAGCUUUCGAUUUCGACUAGUUGUUGCGUCUGCUACUCUGCUAUGCCGGUUGCUAUAUUAUUCAGUCGAUGGUUAG
rnacentral:rRNA from 1 species